rnacentral:tRNA from 1 species
CCUGGUGUCUUAGUGGUAAAGAAUUUGCCUGCCAAAGCAAGAGACACAGGUUCGAUUCCUGAGCCAGGA